UACGAAGGGGGCUAGCGUUGUUCGGAAUUACUGGGCGUAAAGCGCGUGUAGGCGGUUGUUCAAGUCAGGGUGAAAUCCUGGAGCUCAACUCCAGAACUGCCUUCGAUACUGGAAAGCUCGAGUCCGGGAGAGGUGAGUGGAACUGCGAGUGUAGAGGUGAAAUUCGUAGAUAUUCGCAAGAACACCAGUGGCGAAGGCGGCUCACUGGCCCGGUACUGACGCUGAGGUGCGAAAGCGUGGGGAGCAAACGGG
rnacentral:rRNA from 1 species